UGGCAAGCUAUAAUGCAGUAGAACGCUGAAGAGAGGAGCUUGCUCUUCUUGGAUGAGUUGCGAACGGGUGAGUAACGCGUAGGUAACCUGCCUUGUAGCGGGGGAUAACUAUUGGAAACGAUAGCUAAUACCGCAUAACAAUGGAUGACACAUGUCAUUUAUUUGAAAGGGGCAAUUGCUCCACUACAAGAUGGACCUGCGUUGUAUUAGCUAGUAGGUGAGGUAAUGGCUCACCUAGGCGACGAUACAUAGCCGACCUGAGAGGGUGAUCGGCCACACUGGGACUGAGACACGGCCCAGACUCCUACGGGAGGCAGCAGUAGGGAAUCUUCGGCAAUGGGGGCAACCCUGACCGAGCAACGCCGCGUGAGUGAAGAAGGUUUUCGGAUCGUAAAGCUCUGUUGUAAGUCAAGAACGGGUGUGAGAGUGGAAAGUUCACACUGUGACGGUAGCUUACCAGAAAGGGACGGCUAACUACGUGCCAGCAGCCGCGGUAAUACGUAGGUCCCGAGCGUUGUCCGGAUUUAUUGGGCGUAAAGCGAGCGCAGGCGGUUUGAUAAGUCUGAAGUUAAAGGCUGUGGCUCAACCAUAGUUCGCUUUGGAAACUGUCAAACUUGAGUGCAGAAGGGGAGAGUGGAAUUCCAUGUGUAGCGGUGAAAUGCGUAGAUAUAUGGAGGAACACCGGUGGCGAAAGCGGCUCUCUGGUCUGUAACUGACGCUGAGGCUCGAAAGCGUGGGGAGCGAACAGGAUUAGAUACCCUGGUAGUCCACGCCGUAAACGAUGAGUGCUAGGUGUUGGAUCCUUUCCGGGAUUCAGUGCCGCAGCUAACGCAUUAAGCACUCCGCCUGGGGAGUACGACCGCAAGGUUGAAACUCAAAGGAAUUGACGGGGGCCCGCACAAGCGGUGGAGCAUGUGGUUUAAUUCGAAGCAACGCGAAGAACCUUACCAGGUCUUGACAUCCCGAUGCUAUUUCUAGAGAUAGAAAGUUACUUCGGUACAUCGGUGACAGGUGGUGCAUGGUUGUCGUCAGCUCGUGUCGUGAGAUGUUGGGUUAAGUCCCGCAACGAGCGCAACCCCUAUUGUUAGUUGCCAUCAUUCAGUUGGGCACUCUAGCGAGACUGCCGGUAAUAAACCGGAGGAAGGUGGGGAUGACGUCAAAUCAUCAUGCCCCUUAUGACCUGGGCUACACACGUGCUACAAUGGUUGGUACAACGAGUUGCGAGUCGGUGACGGCGAGCUAAUCUCUUAAAGCCAAUCUCAGUUCGGAUUGUAGGCUGCAACUCGCCUACAUGAAGUCGGAAUCGCUAGUAAUCGCGGAUCAGCACGCCGCGGUGAAUACGUUCCCGGGCCUUGUACACACCGCCCGUCACACCACGAGAGUUUGUAACACCCGAAGUCGGUGAGGUAACCUUUUGGAGCCAGCCGCGUAAGC
rnacentral:rRNA from 1 species